rnacentral:rRNA from 1 species
UACGGAGGAUGCGAGCGUUAUCCUGAUUUAUUGGGUUUAAAGGGUGCGCAGGCGGCACGGCAAGCCGGCGGUCAAAUCGCGGGGCUCAACCCCGCCCAGCCGUCGGAACUGCCGGGCUAGAGUGGGCGAGAAGUGCGCGGAAUGCGUGGUGUAGCGGUGAAAUGCAUAGAUAUCACGCAGAACUCCGAUUGCGAAGGCAGCGCACCGGCGCCCUACUGACGCUCAGGCACGAAAGCGUGGGUAUCGAACAGG